rnacentral:rRNA from 1 species
GACGGAGGGUGCUAGCGUUGUUCGGAAUUACUGGGCGUAAAGGGCGCGUAGGCGGCUUGGUCAGUCGGAUGUGAAAGCCCGGGGCUCAACCCCGGAACGGCAUCCGAGACGGCCAGGCUGGAGACCGGGAGAGGAGAGUGGAAUAGCCAGUGUAGAGGUGAAAUUCGUAGAUAUUGGCUGGAACACCGGUGGCGAAAGCGGCUCUCUGGCCCGGUUCUGACGCUGAGGCGCGAAAGCGUGGGGAGCAAACAGG